AACGCACCUUGCGCUCUCCUGGACUUACAUCCGGAGAGCAUGCCUGUCUGAGGGCCGCGAAUUUCUUCGAGCGCCAGCUUUUGCAAAGAAGCUGACGGAUCGGUACUGAGGGCUGCCAUUUGCACUGGCUCCCUCGAAAUACAUCAGCUGGACUGCACAUGCUAGAGGAAGGAUAUACGUCCCUCUCCCUCCGGAUUUUGAUAAUUAUCAAAGGACGGACGUGAUGGAAACUUCUUGUCUCGACCAUGGUAGCUGGCUUUGAGCCGCCUCCCCCCCGGGGGAAGGAUUUUAUUCACACGGCCUCAGAUCAGGUAGGACUACCCGCUGAACUUAA
rnacentral:misc_RNA from 1 species